rnacentral:piRNA from 1 species
UGCCAGAUCUUGAUGCUGCACUUGUUUCC